rnacentral:rRNA from 1 species
AUUGAACGCUGGCGGAAUGCUUUACACAUGCAAGUCGAACGGCAGCACGGGUGCUUGCACCUGGUGGCGAGUGGCGAACGGGUGAGUAAUGCACCGGAACGUAUCCAAUAAUGGGGGAUAACGCACCGAAAGGUGUGCUAAUACCGCAUACGCCCUGAGGGGGAAAGCGGGGGAUCGAAAGACCUCGCGUUACUGGAGCGGCCGAUGCCGGAUUAGCUAGUUGGUGGGGGAAAGGCCCACCAAGGCGACGAUCCGUAGCUGGUCGGAGAGGACGACCAGCCGCACUGGAACUGAGACACGGUCCAGACUCAUACGGGAGGCAGCAGUGGGGAAUUUUGGACAAUGGGCGAAAGCCUGAUCCAUCCAUUCCGCGUGAGUGAAGAAGGCCUUCGGGUUGUAAAGCUCUUUCGCAAGGAAAGAAAACUCAUUUCCUAAUACGAGAUGAGGAUGACGGUACCUUGACAAGAAGCACCGGCUAACUACGUGCCAGCAGCCGCCGCAG